CGCAGGCAGGUAGAUUGACUCGCUCCCGGCAGAAACGGGAAGACUCCCAAUCCUGCGAUCCGGAUUCCAGGCCUCUCGUUAGCACCGUCCCAGGAGUGGCUCAAAAAGCGGAGCACUGGAACCCGCGGAACGGGAUACGAAGCGCAGCCUCCGGACCGGUGAAAAAACCAGAUGAGAAAAAGAAUGUUCAGAGAACAAAGGUGGCUUUUUGAGAUUACACAGCAAGCCAGUGAAGACCCAGGUGUGGAAUGGGUCUCUCCACGCCCCGUGUUCUUCCCAUUUUACCACAUCACCAUCGGAGACUUGUCCAAACGACCCACCGUGCCUCCCACAGAGCCAAGUCCAAGCGAGGUGUUGCUCCCACAUCAGGGGGAACUGUGAGAGACGAACGAGGCAGCAGUUCAGAAGCUCGGUGGGCACUGUGGUGUCCAUGCUGGGUCACGUCGCUUCGGUCCACCUGGGGUCCAAAGACACGGUGACACAGG